UACGUAGGGCGCAAGCGUUAUCCGGAAUUAUUGGGCGUAAAGAGCUCGUAGGCGGUUUGUCGCGUCUGCCGUGAAAGCCCGGGGCUUAACUCCGGGUCUGCAUUCGAUACGGGCUAGCUAGAGUGUGGUAGGGGAGAUCGGAAUUCCUGGUGUAGCGGUGAAAUGCGCAGAUAUCAGGAGGAACACCGGUGGCGAAGGCGGAUCUCUGGGCCAUUACUGACGCUGAGGAGCGAAAGCGUGGGGAGCGAACAGG
rnacentral:rRNA from 1 species